UUUUGCUUUACCAAUAUGGCGCUGCUGCUGUUAUGAGAUGACAACAUCGCAGUUUGUGUCCUAUUUGUUAUUAUUAAUGUUACAAUCAACAUUAAAUAACUACCUCAAGAUUACAAAGAAAAUUGGUAAUUGUAAUGUAAGUUUCGUUAAAGUGAAGCCCAAGUUGUCAGUGAAUUAUACUUUCGAAUGGGUCAGUGGGAAAAGUAUAUAGCUCCUGUAAAAAUGGCGGGUGUGUUAUCUUUAUGGACUGUGUUUUCAUUUCAUUACUAAUUCUUAGUCUUUGAGAUUUGAGCAAAAUCAUCUAUAAAUCGAGUUGAAACAAACUUAUAUUACAACAUGUGCCGAUUACAAAUUUGACAAUUGGAGCAGUGACCGUUUUACGGAGUUAAGGCAGGUGUCAACGUUUUUGAUGAAAUUAUCAGAAUGUCACGCUGGGGAAGAGGCCGAGGUGGCAGCGUGGCUGUGCCGCUGGACAGUGCGCUGUUUAGAGAAAACAGCAAUUGUCCCUCAGCCGCUCGUUCAGCGGGAACUGUUGGCAAAUGGGGAAUGACCAGUUUUACAUCAAUCAGAAGCGCUCCUUACGCAUAUAACAAUGCAAAGAAGCCUGUUCAAGAUCAAAAUAGUCCUUUGACUGUGCCAGCUGUAGACACCGAACAACCUCCGCCAAAACCGAAGAAAUUUUUUAAAUCUCGCAAUGCUGAAACUUUCCCACCUGUGCCUCAAAUUGCUUAUGCACCCCAGCAAGUACCACCACUUUCGCCAGAACAUCCACCAAGUUUUAAGGAAAAGAAAUCAACUAAAAGAUGUAGAUAUAAUAGAGACUCUUCUUCACCAGAAUUACCUCGACGUAACUCUGAAAAAACAAAAACUAAAAAGACCACAGUGGCUACUAAAGCUUCCAAAAAGGAAGAACCCACCAGUGACAAUUCACAACCACCAAAUAAACGAUAUUUAGUGCGUAACCGUAGCAAAGUUAUAAAUUAUGCAGAGGAUGGUAGCAACAGUCCCAUACCAGAUAUGACAACUCGUUAUGAAUCAUUACCACCAAGGGCACAGUCACCCAAAGCUAGUCCGUUAAUUUCCAGUCCAGUGCCAGCAAAGCCAGUAGCAGAUGUAGUCAGCCCUUCUACCAGUAAAGAAUUAAAUGAAGAGCGUAAACCACCACCUAUUGUACUCAGAAUAUCAAAAGGUACAUCAAGAAUAGUAAGCACAGACUCAAAUGAAGGAUUUACAUCUCCUGGUUCUGAUAGACAUUCUUCUAUGGACAUGCAUUCUGAUUUGGAUCAUAAAAAGAGUCCUUCAAUGGAAACAAUUUGUUCACCUAAGCAUGAAGGCCUUAAAAUCACAAUUAAGUGUUCUUCUCUUAAUCAAGAAAAUAAGAAAGAGAAGAAAAAGGACAAAAAAGAAGGACAUCACAAGUCCCAUAAACGGCAUCACAAAAAUAGUGAUGAUGAACCCCUUAAGAAAGCCAGUUCCCCAUUACCAGGCACUGAUACAUAUGACCUGUAUAAGACCUUAGCUUCACCUGUUCACGAGGAGGAGUCAAACACUAAAACAAAAGCUGAAAAUGUUGAGGCACAAUUGGCUAAGAUCAUUUCUACGGAUUCAACAACAAAACCUAAAACUGAAUCGAAAGCUCUUUUACCUGAACCAAAACAACCUGAGGGUAGGUCUAGACGCAAUAGGCCAAACAUUAAUUACAGUGAAAAUGAUGAUUAUUUAGAUGUGUUAACAUCAAAAGUCUCAAACAAAAAUUCUACAAAGACUGUUAGUGAUAUUAAAAAAGAUGUUAGAAAGAGUAAGAGAAGACUCGAUGUUGCAGCAACUCCAGACUCAAAUGAUGUGAAUGAGAUUCAUUCAGAAACUGAAAAAGAAGCCGAAUCUCAUUAUGACGAUGAUGAUUUGAUCAACAUUCUGUCAGGUGAUAAUGAUAAAAUUAAGUCUAAUAAUGACUUGCAAAAAGCAAAAGUUAAUAAAAAACAAAAGAAUAAACAAAAACAACAGAACUCUACCAAUGAUAUUCAAUCUCCAAAUCCUGAAGAUUCUUUAAGUGUGCCACAACUCGAUGAAAGUUAUGAUGAGGAUGAACAUUUGGCAGAAGAGCCUAGAAGUGAUGAUAUGGAUUAUGAAGAUGACGGAGGAGUUCAAGAAGAAAAGGAAGGAGAAUCUCAGACUGAAAAGGCAAUGGAACAACAGGAAAGAAAUCAUCCAUCAGAUCUUCAACCUGGGAGUCAAAUGGAAGGUCAAGGAAUAGAUUCAAAUGAAGAUCUAUGCCAUAAUACACCAACUCAGUCAUCAGAUUCUGCAUACAAUAGUUGUCCCAAUGAGAACUCAGAGGAAGAAUCACAAAGAAACAUAGCUGAUGAUCAUUUUAAAGCUCCGAAUGGUGUAAAUGAGCUGGAUGGUACAGAUGAUAAGCCAAGUGUAAAGUUGGUAAUAACGAAGAAGAAAGGCUCUAUAUUUAAGAGCAAGUCUUUGGUUAAUGAUAACCCUUCUCCAUUACCAGCUAGAAAAAGACGGCACUUGUACAGACAUCAGUGGGCUAAUGAUAAAGGGAAUGAGACUCCAAGACCAGACAGGCCAGAAAACCCUGAAGUGAGUAAUCCUGUCCGUCAAGUGCCUGAAGCAUUAACUAGAGUCACAAGAUACAGAUCUCCGGAUCCUAUUAUAGCUGAAAUAGAUGCUCCCGAGCCUGGAGUACCCUAUACAAGUGUUCGUUGUGCCAAAGAAGCUAAGGAAUAUUACACUGUUGUAAGAAAUGUAAAGAAAGCACAUCAAAUUCAAGAAAUUGGAGAAUUCCAAGAGUUCAAUGAUGAUGUGGAAUACCUUCUAGAUGCACUGCAGGACAACAAUCCGAUGUCAACACGUUGCUUGUCGGCCAUCACGCUGGCCAGCAAAUGCACAGCGCCCGCAUUCCGCAUGCACUUACGAGCGCACGGCACAGUGCAGAAGUUCUUCAGUGCCCUUCACGAUGCCACCAAUGAUCAAAGCCUGGGGCUGUGUACUGCCACAGUUAUGUUUGUACUGUCACAAGACCGUCUAAAUAUGGACUUGGACAGAGAAUCAUUAGAGCUUAUGCUGAAUCUUCUCGAAUCUGAUGUUUCUCACAAGAAUGCCUUAGAUGAUUGUGGGUUGACAUCGGCACAACUUGCAAAGACUCAAGAAAGGGUCAGAGAAUUGUGUGCUGAGAUUAAGAGCCAAGGAAAGGCGACGCAUUUAGACUUGGAGAAUAUAACUGUUGGUCACUUAGCAAUGGAAACGUUACUAUCGUUAACAUCGAAGCGUGCGGGAGAGUGGUUCAAGGAGGAAUUGCGCGUGCUGGGCGGCGUGGACCACAUCGUACGCACCAUACAAGACUGCGCUGCUCGCUUGCACGCGCCAGCCACAGCCUGGUCCAGCGCAGAGGUCGACGUGCUCCGCAAGGCCGACAGGUGCAUGAGGGUUUUGGAGAAUGUGACGCAGCAGAAUGAAGAUAACCAGGUGUACCUGGUGGGCGAGCCACUGGGCGGGGCACGCACGCUGGCCGCGCUGCUACGCCGUUGCGUGAUGGAGGCACGCGAGCAGCCCGCCUUGCGCCCGCCGCUGCUGGAUGCCGCACUGCCCGCGCUCAAGGUUCUCGUCAACCUCUCGCACAGCUUCGGCAGUGUCGCAUCGAUAGGCGCCCAAGUGGUAGGAGAGCAGCCGUAUAUAAUGGAAACCUGCUUAAUUAUGUUGUACAACCAAGGCUGCUUCAUACCUGACAACAAUAACUUCGAGUUUAGUGUUUGUGUGCUUCUAUUGUUGAUAAAUCUGGUCCAAAACAAUGAGAGUAACACACAGAAACUGUUGGAUGUUCACAUAACAGUGGAUAAUGGGGACACAUCAACAAACACACCUGCUUUGGAUCUCAUAGUUGAUUUGUUUUAUAAACGGGAAGAGCUCGCAAGGCGGGCUGAAGAAAAUACUGAUGCGCUGCUAGACGGCGAGAAAGAAGAGACUGAUGAUGAGAAAGAUAAAAAGAAACAGUCGGUCGACGAUAUAGCGGAGACUGUCGAUAAAUUGUUGGCGCGAGCUGGUGCGCAUAUGGAGCAUACGAUGGUGUGCGCGUACAUCGCGCUGCUGCUGGGUCACGCUGCGAGCUGCGCACGCGCACCCGCCGCCGCAGUGCGCGAGCGUGUGCCGCGUUACGAGCCUCUACUUCCCACGCUGCGGAAGUACUACACCUUCCUCUCCCUUACUGCAAGCGCGGAAGCUUCGAUAGUUGCGCACGUGAAGGCGACGCAGAGAAUAAUAGAGUUUAUGGAGACGAGUGACAAAGAGAGUUCUCAGGAUACGCCUCAGCAGCCUCCAGCUGAAUACCCUCGCCCCUACGGCAACUACUACCAGCCCUGUGCAGACCUACCGCAAGACAUGUCCCUCAGCAACCUCAAUUAUACCAUGAACUCCUCGUCCAGCUCCGACAGAAUGUCAUCAUCGAUGGAUGUCGAUGGAUACCACUGAACCAACACACAGACUGCCUUAUUUAUUAAUAUGUUCGCACAUUUGCAAAAUAAAUCAGGUUUGUAGCACUAUGUCUUCUAAACAGUUCAGGCACAUACUUUUAGAUCUUAGAAAAGGAACAACAUGGUCUGCUAUAUGUUUAGAAUACGCUAAUAUUAACCGAGUAAAAUACCUCUAUUCAUAAACCUACAAGACCUAUAUCUAUUGAUUUUCUUAAAAAUAGUAUAUUACUUAAUUUUAUAUAAUCUAUGAGGUCGACAAAAGUGCGUGUAUUUUGUUAAUCUACGAACAAUUAUCCUCAGUAGAUAGUUUAAUUAAGCACAUGAUUUAGUAAAUAAAUGAUGCACCAACUAAAUUAUGUUAUUUAGGAUGAUACGGAACGGUAAAGGGAAGAAACACAAAGAAGAAUCUAUGUAACAAUUUUUUUUUUAAUUUCUGUAAGUGACUGCGAAAAGAGAAUAAUUGGUUGUACUUUUGUUGUAAAUUAACAUAGUCUCAAGAUCACCAUUUAUGUAACUGUUUUAAAAUAAAUCAAUCUAUUUUUAUAAAUGACCGAGAUGUGACUUGAUUGAUGAUUCCGUCUAUCGAAUUGCGCCAUUCUAAUUAUCAAAAUUGAUUAUUACAUUAUUAUUUGGAGAUUUGCGUAUUAUAUUUUAAGCGUGUAUUGUCAAUCCACGAUAAUUUUGCAUAGGUUUAAAAAGGUCACUAACAAGUUUUGUUAUUGUCAGAGAUGUUUAGUAAACGAUCAAACAUAUUUGACAAAUUGCUAUUCAUCAAAUAACUCAUUUAGUUCACUUCACAGGCUUAGUUAGACAAAAAUAUUUUUUUAUAGGCAUUUAGCGUUAUUACUAAAUAUUGCCACGUACAAAACUAUCAAUUUGUAAAAUCCUUUGUAGAGUUAUCGUGAUUUGACAAUAUUUUCUCUACUACUUUACGCAUUUUGUCGUAAUUUUUUUUUGGGCAAAUCCGUAAUUGAUUUGUUUUUACUAUAAAUACAUUGUUUAUUGUCUGUCA